UACGUAGGGGGCAAGCGUUGUCCGGAAUUAUUGGGCGUAAAGAGCGCGUAGGCGGUCCGAUAAGUCGGCUGUGAAAGUCAAGGGCUCAACCCUUGAAAGCCGGCCGAUACUGUCGGACUAGAGUCCGGAAGAGGCGAGUGGAAUUCCCGGUGUAGCGGUGAAAAUGCGCAGAUAUCGGGAGGAACACCAAUGGCGAAGGCAGCUCGCUGGGGACGGUACUGACGCUGAGGCGCGAAAAGCGUGGGGGAGCAAACAGG
rnacentral:rRNA from 1 species